rnacentral:lncRNA from 1 species
UUCUUUUUCCCUCCUCCCCUGUUUCCUCCGAACCCCUUUCAGCCUCCUCCGUUGCUUCCUCCCAUACUGCCACCACCAGCUCCACUUAUUCCAAACCCAUUUCAGCCUCCUCCAGCUCCACUUAUUCCAAACCCCUUUCAGCCUCCUCCAGCUCCUCUUAUUCCAAACCCUUUUCAGCCUCCUCCAGCCCCACCGGCUCCACUUAUUCCAAACCCUUUUCAGCCUCCUCCCGCACCACCGGCUCCACUUAUUCCAAACCCUUUCCAGCCUCCUCCCGCACCUCCAGCUCCAUUUAUCCCAAACCCCUUCCAGCCUCCUUCGGCACCUCCAGCACCUCCAGCACCAUGGUUUCAUCUUCCACCGAUUCCAGGACUAACUCCACCACCAUCGCCACCACCUCCACCUCCACCAACCUUCCCGUUUCCUCUUCCCCCAUUCCAUUUCCCACCUAUACCGCCUUUCCCUGGUAUCCCCCCUGCCUCUGC